rnacentral:rRNA from 1 species
CAGUAGCCGCGGUAACACGAAGGGUGCAAGCGUUACUCGGAAUUACUGGGCGUAAAGCGUGCGUAGGUGGUGGUUUAAGUCCGUUGUGAAAGCCCUGGGCUCAACCUGGGAAUUGCAGUGGAUACUGGGUCACUAGAGUGUGGUAGAGGAUAGUGGAAUUUCCGGUGUAGCAGUGAAAUGCGUAGAGAUCGGAAGGAACAUCUGUGGCGAAGGCGACUAUCUGGGCCAACACUGACACUGAGGCACGAAAGCGUGGGGAGCAAACAGGAUUAGAUACCCCUGUAGUCCCUGUCUCUUAUAA